rnacentral:tRNA from 1 species
GGGACACAGCUCAGUUGGUAGAGCGUCACCUCGCAGGCGCAAGGCCCUGGGUUCAAUGCCCAGCACUCCCC